UCCAAACACCCUGGUUAAGAUAACACAAAAAGAUAAGUUUAUUAACUACAGAAAGAUAGAUUUAAAGUGACGAUGCACAAAAGUGAUAGGAAUCAGAUCAAAGCA